rnacentral:lncRNA from 1 species
ACCAGGACUAUAGUAAAUGGUUUUCAAAAAGUCUAGUGAAUAUUCUUCACUUGUUCACUUGUUCAGGAGGACAUUCUCCUUGGGAAGUCACGAGUCCCUGGGCUGGGACACACAGGAUGACUUUUCCUUGUGAUCUUAACCACAGGAAGCAUUGCUCCAGCAAGAUGCCUCUUGGACAUCACAGAUGCUCUUUCAUAGAAAGAGAGCCUGCCUUGCUUGCUUGCUCAUCUGUACCUCCAUUCCCAGCUCUAUAUCGAGGCUUUUUGGAGCUUAACUAAGAGUCAUGCCGGCCUGGUCAUGAAGCCGUCCUUCCAGGACAUUGAUACCACGAGUCUACUCAAUGUGUUAGUGUGCGCAUGGGUUUCCCGGCCAUCUACUGAAGCAUGGGCCUUUCUCAGGGACUGCAUCCAGAAACUGAGCCCGUUUCCUGAGCAGUCAUCCGUCGCUCAUUAGCUCCUUGGCUACUAGGAAGAAAACCAUAUUUUUAAAUGAAAAAAAAAUGUAAUAUGAAAUGGAAUUAUGACAUGGGAGAGAACUGAACUACCAAGUUACCACGUGGAAGAAAAACCAUCACCCAGG